UCCGGCCCGUUUGUUGUCAUAUAUACAUAUUGUGGUGCAACCGUAUUUUUAACCAUGACCCGCGGGUCGUACACUUCUUCAUAAGGUAACGCCGGCCCUAUCCCUCUUCCUUGAUUACCUUCAAAUGAAAAUCAAUAUUUUCAUAUAUUAUGAUUAUGAGAUAUGACAGAUAUUGCUUUACAUAUUAUGAUUAUGAGAUAUGACAGACAGAUAUUGAUGGAUAUUACGACUAUGAGAUGUGUCGGAUAGAACUUUGUU
rnacentral:lncRNA from 1 species